CACAGACCUGAGCGUCCCAGCCACUGAGGGCCCCAGGGAUGGAAUCCUUCCAGGACCCACAAAGGCCUCUCCCCUGUGGUUGACUCCGGAGCUCCCAGGCAGGAAGGCGCGCGUCCUGGGAGGCAGCCCUUUUGAAAUCGGGGCAAAAUGGCUGGCUGCAGGCCCGGAACCUCGGCCACAUGCAGGACAAGCAGGCUGUCCUCGGCCCCUCUGGAAGGGCGGCCGCGGAGGACCGGCCAGGGCCGCAGGACUCUCCCGCAUUCAGAUGAGCACGGAGCAGCUGGGCCAAGUCCUGCGUGAGUCUCAGCCCCAAGUGUGACUCCAGGCUGGGUUUUCGGGGCUGGGGGAGGAGCGCCGGUGUGGGGUGGGUGGCGCACGGCGGAGCCCCGGUGUUCCGUGUGCCCUCUUCCCCUUUAAUUAAGGUUUUGGAGAUUAUAGGUUUGCAAAGUUCAGAAUCCAAAGGAUAAGCGUGUGCACUUGCGAAGCCUGAUCCUCUGCGCCCCCUGCUGGCUCGUGAUCGGCUCUGCAGUUCGUCCUGACAGAAGCAAAAGCUGCACCUCAGGGGCGUGUCCUACCGCACAGGAUAUCUGGUGUCGGGGCGCUGCGCACACGCGUCCUGCUGGAAGGGGCAGGGGCGGGCCACGCUGAGGUCUACCCUGGACUCCAGGAAGAGGGACCAGAGCUGGUGACUCCUGUGGCUCAAGGUCUGGGGUGGUCAGGGUCAGAGUCAAGGAGGGCCAGAGGAGCUCUGGUGGGGAGGAUUUUUAACUCUUCCUUUACCCAUCUCCAGCUUGUUUCGCAGUUUGUGCUGAGCACGUGUUACUUCGGUGGGGAACCUGUAGCCUUUGUGUGACUUCUAUGCAGAUCUUCUGCGCCCGGCUUCAUGGGGCUUGGCAACCGCACAGCCUGUGUAGCUGCCACUCCAGGGAGCGUAGGGUGUUUCUGUCAUUCUAGAAAAGCCCCCCAGUGCCCGUCCAGCCAAUGCGCCCCAUCCCAGGCAGCCGCUGUCUGACUGACCGGCAGAGCCUGCAGUCCAUGGGGUCUCGGAGUUGGGCCCCACUGAGCGACUGAGCACGCGUGCACGUGUGGCUGACACCGACGGUCGGGACAGGAGGAGCCACGAGCACCGGCCUGUCCACGGUGACCUGGGCCUCCCCGGUCCACCUGGCCUGCAGGUGGUGUCUCCUUGUCUGCUGCCCUCCGGGGCCUCGCCAUGUCCCUCUGCACCCUCAGCUCCCCUGGUGUCCUCGUACCUGUGGCUGCCCAUUCGGCUUCCUCCACUGCGCCCACUGGGCUCUCUCCUGACUGGCCCAGACUCGCCCACCUGCUGGGCUCCCCACCCUCCUCCUUCCCUCGCUGCUCUGGAGCCAGACCUGGAAAGACAGCAUCCACCGGCCUCUUGGCCCUGACAUACGUCACCCAACCCGCAGAGUGCUGGAGGGAGAUGGAGCUUGUGAGGAGAGUGGCCAGAUGCUCCAAGCAAGGAUACUGGAGUGGGCAGCCAUUCCCUUCUCCAGGGGAUUUUCCAGACCCAGGGGUGGAAUCUGGGUCUCCUGCAUUGCAGGCAGGCUCUGUACUGUCUGAGCCACCAGGGAAGCCCUUUGAAAAAAAUCAAUCCUGGUCAAAUAACACAGAAUGUACCAUCUUAACCACGUUUAAGCCUCCAGGUCAGUGGUAUUAAGUGCGUUCACGUUGUUGUGCAGUGACGACCACCAUCCAACCCGAUUAACGCUUCACUUUGUAAAACAGUCACUUUGUCCCCAUUAAACACCAGCUUCCGCUCGGCUCCCCCAGCCCUGGACCCCACCAUCCAACUUUCUGUCACUAUGAAUCUGCAUGCUCCUGGGGCCUCGUGUAAGUGAAAUCACUUGCUUGCCUUGCUUGUCCUUCCAUGACUGACUUGCUGCACUGAGCGCAGUGUCUUCAAGUUUCCUCCAUGUCGUGGCAUACCGGGGCUUCCUUCCGUUUUAAACCUGAACAGUAUUCUGGGAAAUUGAUUACUUUUCAGAUGUUCUUACUUUGCAAAAUAAAAAGUUAGCCACCCAA